ensembl:lncRNA
AGUGUAUGGAUGUGUUCUGACAUGUCAUUUGUUCAACAGACAUAAGCCCACGAGGUGUAACCUCACCAGGCAGACUGACUCCUGAAGCGGCUGAUGAUAUACAAUUCAAUGAUGGUUCUCAUAAUACCGGAGAGUACCUGGGAUAAGCAGCACCUGUUGCGCCUGUUGCCAGCCCAGAAGCAGACCUCACAGUGCCGCUUCCCACCACCUCGGCCCUGGAGGAAAUGGCCCUCUAUAGCAACAAGCGUAAACUGAGACAGGGCCGCCGCAGCCUGGAGACCGCCGUACCCACAUAACAGCACAUCUGCACCAAACCCACUGGGAGACAAAACCCUGUGGAACACCGAUGUACCACGAGGCGUAUACCCCUUCAACACUAGACCUGUGUCAGUAGAGCUAUCAUUCAGUGCACAAAUUCACUGACACUAUCCUGCGUGCCAGCCAUGCCUUUCACAGUCUACGGACAUUGGACAAGAGGAGGCAAGCGUGGUUAGCCUAGCGUGGUUAGCCUAGUGUUUAGUGUGCUUUAGAAGUAUCCGACAUGGCCGAUUGUUUUUUAGUUUUGUUAUUAUUAUUUACAUAUUUGCACCUCAAAAAAGAUAUACUGGAAACAAAAAGAUAUGGGUCCCUCUAGCUGUACUAACAUGCUGAAAUAUAUUUUUAGACUUUAAAUAGAUUGUAAAUGUUAUCACUUUGAGUUGAAACGGAGUGUACAUAUUGAUUGGGAACAGCCUGCUACCUUCGCGGCCACAACUAGAUUGAUUUUUUUUAUUUUUUUUUUAAUGAAUGGGACAUAUCAUGUUUGCACUGCCACUGUUCAGCUUUUUAAAAUGCAUAUCUCUGAGUAAUUUAUUGUUUUUAAAAAUAAAUACAUUUACUUACAAAACAUUUAUCAAUAUCAAAUUUAACUUCUUAAAUAUCUGUAAGAACACUAUUAUCAUAUGUGAUAAUAUUCAUAUUCUGACUGUGUUACAUUCCCUGUUGUAGCGAACACAGCAGCAGAAAAGCUAAAUCUAUAUAAUCAAUGGUACUUGUUUUUCAUGCACAUCUUCAUUUUUGUCUUUUUGCAUCCCGAGUUUUGGAGUGACGUGAAGGUAGCAGCUCCUAUAUUUUUCUGUCUUGAGUAAUUUAAAUGAUGCCACUGAAAUCAUUUAUUAUUGUGUGAAUAAUGUACAAAUAUUGAAAUUAUAGUGAACUUUGGGUGUGCAACUGAGCCAGUCUUGACCACGACUAUAGUCUGGACUGCUGACUUGGGGCUCGGAGCUCUCUGCAUGUUUGACAGUUGCGAAUGGGAGAGCUAAGAGAGGCCUGGCCAAGUAAAAAAUCUCUAUCAAGACACAUUUUUCCAUCAGAAUCAAAGCUUGUGUUAAUAAUUUAAUGUUGAAUCUUAGUUUUUCAUGUUGCUCUAAUUGACUGAAAUUCAGUUCGUCAGAUAACUUUUGUGAUGGCUUUUUAAAACUUACAGUAGCUAUUUUUUCAGCCGGGUUUCACUUCAGUAAUAAUGCAGUGUUUUUAAGUCUGUUUGUCUUCAGUAAUCUUUGGGGGCUGUAACCUGCAAAUGGGUCGAUGGUAAAGGGUUUGAGCUCACACAAGACUGUAACUAGUGAAUUUGUACAACCAAAGAAGUCUAUUUUGUGGUUCAGGAAUAAUAAAUUUUACUUUUCAUUUAAGAUAAA